rnacentral:snRNA from 1 species
GAGUAGUUGGUUCCUUACUCCUGAUGCCUUUUGCAUCUUCAAUGCACUGUCUAGAGUUGAUUUGACUGAUCCGACUGGCUAGGGAGGUGAUCCCUACUUCCCUCACUACUCCUUGUGCAUCCUUUCCAAAUCUUCACAUUUGGUUGAAGAAUUCUACCUUCCCUCAUAGAAGAGGGCCAUUGUUUUGGCAGGGGAACAUGUAUAGCUGUGUUUCUCUUCUAGGGUCUCCAAACAGCUCUCAGCAUCCUCUCUGCAUGGGAGCACAUGUUUAUAAUUUCUUUAUGCUCCUCAGA